ACGCACAUUGCGCCCUCUGGUAUUCCGGGCGGCAUGCCUGUCCGAGCGUCAUUGCGAACCCUCAAGCACGGCUUGUGUGUUGGGCCGCCGUCCCCUCGUUUGGAGGGGACGGGCCUGAAAGGCAGCGGCGGCGUCGCGUCCGGUCCUCGAGCGUAUGGGGCUCUGUCACGCGCUCAAGGAGGGGUCCGGCCGGGGCCAUAGCCUCUGAAGGUCAAUUCUUCCAAGGUUGACCUCGGAUCAGGUAGGAGUACCCGCUGAACUUAA
rnacentral:misc_RNA from 1 species